rnacentral:rRNA from 1 species
AGUGAACGCUGGCGGUAGGUCUAACACAUGCAAGUCGAACGGCAGCACAGCAGUAGCAAUACUGUGGGUGGCGAGUGGCGGACGGGUGAGGAAUACAUCGGAAUCUACCUUUUCGUGGGGGGAUAACGUAGGGAAACUUACGCUAAUACCGCAUAAGACCUUCGGGUGAAAGUGGGGGACCUUCGGGCCUCACGCGGAUA